UAAAAUAUAAAAAAAAAUUGAGGACCAAUAUGAUUAUAGCCAAGCCACUCUUCUCCUGUAAUACCAGUCUACAGUAAAACACAAGGGAAGGGGAAAAAUUUUAUGUGAGAGGGGAGAAGCCAUCAGGAGCCAACAAAAACCCUAAAAUCAUCUUCUCCCAAGGCCGCCGCUCACUUCCCCUCUGCCAAAAAAAAAAUAAAAGAGCGGCCACUCCUUUCAUCCCCACCGGACAGCCCCACAGCCGGUCCAUUCUUCCCCAUCUCCAGAAGACACAGGCCUCUAUCUCCCUCACGAUAUCUCCCCUCCCUUCAGCAUAAACAAACCAGAGCCCCUCACUUAGCGCUGAGCUGUCCCUCCUCUCUCUCUCAGUCAUCUCCCCCCAUCCUUUCCCACUGCAGCCUUCACCCAAAUCAUCCUCCCUUAUCCCCUCAGCCCCGGCCACAGAUCUUCCCCUUUUCAGCCCGCAGAUUAGCCCCACCACAACUCAGCCUCCCUACAGACCGACCUCCACUCAGUUCCCUUCCUUUUCCACUCACGGUGGCCAUGGAUGGCCUGCGGAUAAACCAUUGAACCGCUCUCUCAUCCAGCAGCAGCGGUCAGCCCCUUAAGCCGUUCCCCCCGAGUCCCAUCGUCGCGUGUGCAGACACGACACCAGCCACGACAGCUUCUUCUCCCGUCUUCAACCAUCCAGACGGCAAUAAGCAAUGGUGGCGUUGGACCCCAGAAGAAGAAGGGAAGAGCAGAAAAUCGAGAGGAAGAAGGAAGACCGAGAACAGAUCUAGGAAAGGAAUCCACUGCUUGUUGUGUUUUUGGUGGUUUUUCAGGUCACCGCCGGCGUAGAGAGACAGAGAAGAAGAAGAAGACGUUCCCCAUCCACUGUUUUUCAUGCCUUCACCGGAACAAUAAUGGAGCCGCAAUCAAAUGAGUCAUCAUAUAUCUGUUGUCACCUGUUUAACCAUUGGCUUUGCUAACACUCAUAUCCGCCAUCGUUUGUGGAAGAGAUACAGAGUGCACUGUAACUGGAUUUUAAAGUGUUUAUUUUUUUUGAAAAUAUAUUAAAAUAAUAUUUUUAAAAUUUUUUAUUUUAA